CCUACGGGUGGCAGCAGUGGGGAAUAUUGCACAAUGGGGGAAACCCUGAUGCAGCGACGCCGCGUGAGCGAUGAAGUAUUUCGGUAUGUAAAGCUCUAUCAGCAGGGAAGAAAAUGACGGUACCUGACUAAGAAGCCCCGGCUAACUACGUGCCAGCAGCCGCGGUAAUACGUAGGGGGCAAGCGUUAUCCGGAUUUACGGGGGGUAAAGGGGGCGUAGACGGUCCUGCAAGCCAGAUGGGAAAGCCCGGGGCUCAACCCAGGGACUGCAGUUGGAACUGUAAGGCUAGAGUGUGGGAGAGGCAGGCGGAAUUCGGGGUGUAGCGGUGAAAUGCGUAGAUAUUAGGAGGAACACCAGUGGCGAAGGCGGCCUGCUGGACGAUGACUGACGUUGAGGCUCGAAAGCGUGGGGAGCAAACAGGAUUAGAUACCCUUGUAGUC
rnacentral:rRNA from 1 species